rnacentral:rRNA from 1 species
UACGAGUGCCCCAAGCGUUAUCCGGAAUUAUUGGGCGUAAAGGGUGUGUAGGUGGCGAUGUUAGUCUUCUGUCAAAUUCUUCGGCUUAACCGGGGUCUUGCAGAGGAAACGGCAUUGCUCGAGGAUGCGAGGGGUGAAUGGAACUCAUGGAGUAGGGGUGAAAUCCGUUGAUAUCAUGGGGAACACCAAAAGCGAAGGCAAUUCACUGGCGCAUUCCUGAACACUGAAACACGAAAGGCGUGGGUAGCGAACGGG